GGAAGUUAAGAAGCUGUUUCUUAACUUUUAACUAAAAAAAGCUAAGAACCGGUUCUUAAAUAAAGAUUUUAAGAACCGGUUCUUAGCUUUUUUAGUUAAAAAUUAAGAAACAGUUCUUAACUUCU
rfam:Brassica napus, WGS project CCCW01000000 data, contig: 22135